rnacentral:rRNA from 1 species
UCGAGAAUUUUGGGCAAUGGGCGAAAGCCCGACCCAGCAACGCCGCGUGAAGGAUGAAGUAUUUCGGUAUGUAAACUUCGUAAGAAUAGGAAGAAUAAAUGACGGUACUAUUUGUAAGGUCCGGCUAACUACGUGCCAGCAGCCGCGGUAAUACGUAGGGACCAAGCGUUGUUCGGAUUUACUGGGCGUAAAGGGCGCGUAGGCGGUGUGUCAAGUCAGUUGUGAAAUCCCCGGGCUUAACCUGGGAACUGCACUUGUGACUGCAUAGCUGGAGUACGGCAGAGGGGGAUGGAAUUCCGCGUGUAGCAGUGAAAUGCGUAGAUAUGCGGAGGAACACCGAUGGCGAAGGCAGUCCCCUGGGCCUGUACUGACGCUCAUGCACGAAAGCGUGGGGAGCAAACAGGAUUAGAUACCCAUGUAGUCCCUGAGCGGGCUGGCAAGGCGCAU